GCCAACUUGAACUUGAGAUCUGAUACUCCCCCUCAAGAUGGACGAUGAAGAUCAAGAAUGGCCAUCUUGGACAAUAGUGGAAAAAGGAGGGAGGAAGGUAGAGGCUUGGUAAAAAUGUCAGCUAACUGAUGUUGACUUCAAACUAGUAAAAGUUUAAUGAAACCAUCAUUGAUUUUGUCCCAUGUAAAAUGGCAAUCAAUUAUAUACUUUGUCCGUUCAUGGAAGAUAGGAUUCGUGGCGAUAUGGAUCGCAGCUUGAUUAUCACAGAAAAUUAAUGCCGGAGAAGAAGAUGUAAUCUGGAAAUCAAGAAGAAGCUGAUGUAUCCAAACAAGUUCGCUUGUUGUAGAUGCCAAGGCCCUAUAUUCUGCCUCAGCUGAUGAUUUGGAAAUAAUGGUUUGCUUUUUAGCUCUCCAGGAAAUUAGUGAAUCACCAAGGAGCACACAAAACCCAGUGAUUAAUUUUCUUGAAUUUUCUUGAAUCAGGACAUGAUCCCCAAUUAGCGUCAGCACAUGCUUGAAGCUAGAAUGAAGAAGCAGCAGCAAAUAACAAGCCUUAUCCUGAGGAUGAUUUAAGAUACCUUAAGUGCAACAUCAAGAUGAGGUUGUCGAGGUUGAGACAUGAAUUAGCCGAGUUUAUGAACAGCAACGGUAAUGAUUGGUCGAGAGAUGGUUAAGUACCAAUCUUUGAUAUAAAGAAGCAUCAUCAAGGAGUUCUCCAUCAAAAGAAUUUAGACGCGGAUCCACAAGUAGCUGAGCUGGUUUGCUGGCAAAAGAACCAGUGUCUUUAAGAAGUUGAAGAGUGUAAUGUCUUUGGGAGAGGAAGAUUCUUUUCUAUGACCUUGCUAUCUCCAAGCCAAGAAAAUACUUCAGUUUACCUAGGUCUUUGAGCUUAAACUGAUUAUGCAAAAAUGCCUUUACGAAUUUUACUUCUUCAAUGUUUGAUCCUGUGAUGAUAAUAUCAUCAACAUAAACCAGUAAUGCAUUAAAAGAAGCUCUAGAAUCUUUUGUAAAUAGUCCAAUUUGGAUUGAUGGAAGC
rnacentral:lncRNA from 1 species